GACGAACGCUGGCGGCGUGCUUAACGCAUGCAAGUCGAACGGAAAGGCCCUGCUUUUGUGGGGUGCUCGAGUGGCGAACGGGUGAGUAACACGUGAGUAACCUGCCCUUGACUUUGGGAUAACUUCAGGAAACUGGGGCUAAUACCGGAUAGGAGCUCCUGCUGCAUGGUGGGGGUUGGAAAGUUUCGGCGGUUGGGGAUGGACUCGCGGCUUAUCAGCUUGUUGGUGGGGUAGUGGCUUACCAAGGCUUUGACGGGUAGCCGGCCUGAGAGGGUGACCGGCCACAUUGGGACUGAGAUACGGCCCAGACUCCUACGGGAGGCAGCAGUGGGGAAUACUGCACAAUGGGCGGAAGCCUGAUGCAGCAACGCCGCGUGCGGGAUGACGGCCUUCGGGUUGUAAACCGCUUUCGCCUGUGACGAAGCGUGAGUGACGGUAAUGGGUAAAGAAGCACCGGCUAACUACGUG
rnacentral:rRNA from 1 species